rnacentral:rRNA from 1 species
GAUGAACGCUGGCGGCGUGCCUAAUACAUGCAAGUCGAGCGAACGGACGAGAAGCUUGCUUCUCUGAUGUUAGCGGCGGACGGGUGAGUAACACGUGGAUAACCUACCUAUAAGACUGGGAUAACUUCGGGAAACCGGAGCUAAUACCGGAUAAUAUUUUGAACCGCAUGGUUCAAAAGUGAAAGACGGUCUUGCUGUCACUUAUAGAUGGAUCCGCGCUGCAUUAGCUAGUUGGUAAGGUAACGGCUUACCAAGGCAACGAUGCAUAGCCGACCUGAGAGGGUGAUCGGCCACACUGGAACUGAGACACGGUCCAGACUCCUACGGGAGGCAGCAGUAGGGAAUCUUCCGCAAUGGGCGAAAGCCUGACGGAGCACCGCCGCGUGAGUGAUAAAGGUCUUCGGAUCGUAAAACUCUGUUAUUAGGGAAGAACAUAUGUGUAAGUAACUGUGCACAUCUUGACGGUACCUAAUCAGAAAGCCACGGCUAACUACGUG